rnacentral:tRNA from 1 species
GCGGGUAUAGUUAAAUGGUAAAACAUAGGCUUUCCAGGUCUAAGUCGCGAGUUCGAUUCUCGCUACCCGCU